UGACACGUUGCGCUGCAGUUUUCAUGAAGGGCUUUCAAGACUCGCUCAAAAACAUGACAGUUCGCCUUGUGCCGUCGCAAUGGCUGAAAUGAAAAACUAAAGAAAAUGCAAAUGUUAGCGAAAAAAAGUGUGGAGUCUGUGGCCCUCUCAUGGAGUACUGGCUUUGAGUUUGAAAAUGUACCAGUCAAUGUAAAAUCAGCUUCCUCUUGGACAUAAGAGUUGAAGAGUUUGUUAC